UACGGAGGGUGCAAGCGUUAUCCGGAUUCACUGGGUUUAAAGGGUGCGUAGGUGGGCAGUUAAGUCAGUGGUGAAAUCCUCCAGCUCAACUGGAGAAGUGCCUCGGAUACUGGCUGCCUCGAGGAGGGUAGGGGCAUCUGGAACUAGCGGUGGAGCGGUGAAAUGCGUUGAUAUCGCUAGGAACUCCGGUGGCGAAGGCGAGGUGCUGGACCCUUUCUGACGCUGAGGCGCGAAAGCCAGGGGAGCGAACGGG
rnacentral:rRNA from 1 species